rnacentral:SRP_RNA from 1 species
GUUGGGCGUGGUGGCGCACGUCUGUAAUCCUUGCGCCUGGGAGACCGAGGCUGCUGGACUGCUUGAGCCGCGGGUUCCGGUGCCGUGGCGCGCUAUGGCGAACGGGAGUCCUGGUGACGGUCAGCAUCGACGUGGUGCUUCUUGGGGAGCCUGGGCGCACCAGGUCGUCUAGGGAGGGGCGAACCAACCCAGGUCGGUGACGGAGCAGGUGAAAGCCCCCGUGCUGAGCGGUCUGUGGGUUGGCCCUGUGAGUAGCGGCUGCGGUGCUGCCAAGGUGAGAGGUGGCUUAACUCUA